rnacentral:pre_miRNA from 1 species
GAGACACUCUUAUGGAGUAGGACUUGCUUCAGUGGGACUUUGUGGCUCACUGAGUCUGCCCCUUAAGUGUGUCCGCU